CGGACGGGUGAGUAACGGCGUGAGAAUCUGCCUUCAGGACGGAGACAACAGUUGGAAACGACUGCUAAGCCCCGAUGUACCGAAAGGGAAAAUAUUUAUAGCCUGAAGAUGAGCUCGCGUCCGAUUAGCUAGUUGGCGGAGUAAAAGCCCACCAAGGCGACGAUCGGUAGCUGGUCUGAGAGGACGAUCAGCCACACUGGGACUGAGACACGGUCCAG
rnacentral:rRNA from 1 species